GGCAACUUGGCCGAGCGGUCUAAGGCGCCACGUUAAGGAACAUCCUUGAUAACAGAUUCUCCUCUUUCUCCUUGGGAAGAAAAUGAAUUCCGUGGUCCGAAAGGGCGUGAGUUCGAAUCUCACAGUUGUCA